UAGGGAAUCUUCCGCAAUGGGCGAAAGCUUGACGGAGCAACGCCGCGUGAGUGAUGAAGGUCUUCGGAUCGUAAAACUCUGUUAUUAGGGAAGAACAAAUGUGUAAGUAACUAUGCACGUCUUGACGGUACCUAAUCAGAAAGCCACGGCUAACUACGUGCCAGCAGCCGCGGUAAUACGUAGGUGGCAAGCGUUAUCCGGAAUUAUUGGGCGUAAAGCGCGCGUAGGCGGUUUUUUAAGUCUGAUGUGAAAGCCCACGGCUCAACCGUGGAGGGUCAUUGGAAACUGGAAAACUUGAGUGCAGAAGCGGAAAGUGGAAUUCCAUGUGUAGCGGUGAAAUGCGCAGAGAUAUGGAGGAACACCAGUGGCGACGGCGACUGUCUCGUCUGUAUCUGACGCUGCUGUGCGAAAGCGUGGGGAUCAAACAGG
rnacentral:rRNA from 1 species